rnacentral:misc_RNA from 1 species
AAGUCGUAACAAGGUUUCCGUAGGUGAACCUGCGGAAGGAUCAUUAGUGAAUUUUAGGGUGCUCUUCCUCAGCUGUUUAACCGGCCGAGUGAAGAGGCCUGACCUCCACUCUCCAACACUGUGCACACUUCGGCAUUGCGAACGCUGCUUGUCAGCUAGUAGCUUUGCGGCUUCAUUUUAACACUAGUCAAAGAAUGUAAAAAAACCAUAACAAAAAAAAACUUUCAACAACGGAUCUCUUGGCUCUC